rnacentral:lncRNA from 1 species
AAAGAGAAGAACGGAAGUUGUUGAUUUAAGGUUGUCUAAAUGAAUAUUUUGAAAUGUAAAUUAGAAAAGAGAGAGAGAGAGAGAGAGAGAGAGAGAGAGAGAGAGAGAGAGAGAGAGAGAGAUAUGCUUGUUUAGGUGAGCUUUUCUCAAGAAAUUAUGUUUGUCAAAAAUUGACAAAGUUCCACCAGUUAAUGGAAUAGAAUUAUUGGAAUGCUGUUUAGGUGAUUUUGAUAGUGACCCCAAGUAAGUAGAUUGUGGAAAUCUGUGUGUAGCAUUUGUUUAAUGCAGGACUGAGAAGGACCAAGGCAUUCUUGGCACUAAACAAGCAUACCUUGAACCAACAACUCAUUUAAAGAAUUUGUGGAUGAGAGACUACAGGAGAAUAACUUAAGGAAGUGGCUGAAUGGCAUUUCCCCCUUGCACUUCUUCCCUUUCCCCAAUGCAGUUCUGCCUCCACCAGCUCUAGAGCUGUCCAUCAUCCCUCCAAGACAGACCUUUCUCCAGGGACAACGGAUCAAGUUGAAAUGCUCCCACCCGGAAGGGCAGCUGGCAGCCAAGUUCUUAUUUUAUGAAAUGAAAGCUGAUGGUGGGUGGACUAAACUCCAAGAACAGUUCGAUAAUACCCUGGAAAUCACUGCAGAAUUUCAGGAAACAAAGAAAUCAUUUGUCUGUGCCUACAUGGAAGAAAGCAGUGCAGGACAACUGUCUGAACGGAGUAACCGCAUUGAGGUUUCCAUUAUAGGCCGCCUUCAUCCUCCAUUCUUCUCUGUGUCCCCGAAGCUUGACAUCUACAGCAGUGGGGAGAUUGUGAACUUCACAUGCUCUGCUCCUGAAAACAUUCUCAUGUCGAGGGUUUUCUUUGGGAAGGACCGAUGGCUGUUGCAUGUCUACAGGCCCCCUUCUCCUCUGGCCUCCUUUACGUACACGAGGCGCUUGUCUCCUCAAGACAGCGGGGAGCAUCUUUGCACGUACCGAGCUGCAGAAUCGAGCUGGAACAUCUCAUCCCUAGAAAGCAGAAGGAUCAGGAUUUCGGUGAUGGCUCCUCCUCCUGCCCCGGUGCUGACAGUGGAUCCUCCGUCUGGAGUGGUGAAGGAAGGGGGAUUCCUGCGCCUCACUUGCUCGGCCUUUGGCAGCGACGCAGAGCAAAGGUUUCAUUUCUACAGGGAUGGGGUGAAGAUUUCCUCCAGCAGUGAAGAGUCUCUGGCGGACUCCGGAGAACCCAGGAAUGCCUUCUCGAACGCCUCUGCAAACAUCCUGGUCCAAGUCACAGCCAGCAUCCACACUGGGGGAUUUGCUUGCAGGUAUGAGCAGAAACUGAGCAGCCGAUGGAUCAUGUCUCCCUGGAGCCAAACAGUGAAUCUCACAGCGGAAUACUGA